GCUUUUUCUGAGCUCCUGCGCUGGGGAGGGUGGGUGGAUGCGUGACGGGAAAACAGCAAGUGCUUUGCAUUCACCCCACCGCUUUGCCAUCRUCCAAUUAACUCUAUUAAUAGCAGCAGCACUUCCCCAUCAGCAAAACUUUCAGGCUUGUAGCAGCUAAAUGCUUCCUGAGAGAUCCUGGACGUCAGGCAGGGCUGGGGCUCCUUAACGACGCGUGGUAUUUUAAUGAGCCUUGUACCUAGAAGAGGAUCAUAGGAAAUGGAUGGAAUUCCAUUUGUUGGUUUGAGGAACGGAGGAAAGAACAUGUGUUUGGUGCUACACGUAGCUGAGGAUGCAAUGUGCAAAACUUUCUCCUGGCCUGGAAACUGGUGGAGCUUUGUCUUCAGGAGAAGACUGAGAGCUUGCUGCUCUGCUAGGUAGAGCCAGCRACUUUCUGAAGAUCAGCGGGCAGAGGAUGUGCUCCGGCUGGGAAGGGGCACUGAAUUCGUUGGCACGGAUGAACUGAGCUACUGACGGUCUACUCUGAAGACAAAUCUAAGCAAAGGGCAUGAAAUAAUGUGACAAAARUUGUAAAUCACUGCACCACUCUCUGCCAGUUCUCCGGUCCAGCCUGCCAGCCCYGUAGCCGUCCGUUGGCACCAUCCG
rnacentral:lncRNA from 1 species